rnacentral:tRNA from 1 species
UGGAGCGGGUCAAGGGAAUCGAACCCUCUACCUAAUCGUUGGCAACGAUUCGCUCUACCAAUGAGCUAGACCCGC